AUGCCCGAGACAACCAUCAGGAUCGUAAACGUGCAACAGCUUUAUACCAGGUGAAUGUGUGAGCAAACAGAUCAGAGGUUCUACCUGCCAGGUGGCUCUCCAGGUGUGUCCUGUGAUUCCCCACGCUCGCCUGCAGGCUGCACUGUUGCCGUGGUUAUCUCCCAGGCUACCACAGCAGGCAAUUCAAACAGGUUGUGUCAACACUGCAGGUAGACACUGAAUCCGCACCAGCCAAGGCUGAAAACGGUUGCAGCCACGAGAACUGUGGACUCUGAGAAGCAAGGAAAGGAGCCCACUCAGAGCUCCAAGAGUGCGCAUGCGUGGAGGACCACCUACUGAAGCAUGGCUAUCUUUCACGGACACAUUCCUGAAGAAAACAGAUGCUGGUGCCAGGCCAAGGAAAGGACCAGGAACGAGGUUCUCCACACAUCCUCCAUCCGUGCGUUCCAGGGCUCGUGGGUUUGCUUCAGCCAAAACCUCGAACGAGCCACAUCCUUGUGUUCUUGACUGUGAUGAGGUCUUUUAUUGCAUUUAUAAAUGUUCCCCCUGGGGCUAUUACUCAAAAGGGUUCAUCUAAUGAAUAAGACAACUAAC
ensembl:lincRNA 1700018A04Rik RIKEN cDNA 1700018A04 gene